rnacentral:rRNA from 1 species
GAGUUUGAUCCUGGCUCAGGACGAACGCUGGCGGCGUGCUUAACACAUGCAAGUCGAACGGUGAUCCCCUUCGGGGGUGAUCAGUGGCGAACGGGUGAGUAACACGUGAGCAACCUGCCCCUGACUCUGGGAUAACCCCGGGAAACCGGAGCUAAUACCGGAUAUGACGCGCUCGGGCAUCCGAUGCGUGUGGAAAGAUUUAUCGGUCAGGGAUGGGCUCGCGGCCUAUCAGCUUGUUGGUGGGGUAAUGGCCUACCAAGGCGACGACGGGUAGCCGGCCUGAGAGGGCGACCGGCCACACUGGGACUGAGACACGGCCCAGACUCCUACGGGAGGCAGCAGUGGGGAAUAUUGCGCAAUGGGCGAAAGCCUGACGCAGCGACGCCGCGUGAGGGAUGAAGGCCUUCGGGUUGUAAACCUCUUUCAGCAGGGACGAAGCGCAAGUGACGGUACCUGCAGAAGAAGCGCCGGCUAACUACGUGCCAGCAGCCGCGGUAAUGCCCA